GAUGAACGCUGGCGGCGUGCCUAAUACAUGCAAGUCGAGCGAAUGAUGAGGAGCUUGCUCCUCUGAUUUAGCGGCGGACGGGGGAGUAACACGUGGGUAAUCUGCCUGUAAGACGGGGAUAACUCCGGGAAACCGGGGCUAAUACCGGAUAACAAGAGAAGAAGCAUUUCUUCUUUUUGAAAGUCGGUUUUGGCUGACACUUACAGAUCAGCCCGCGGCGCAUUAGCUAGUUGGUGAGGUAACGGCUCACCAAGGCGACGAUGCGUAGCCGACCUGAGAGGGUGAUCGGCCACACUGGGACUGAGACACGGCCCAGACUCCUACGGGAGGCAGCAGUAGGGAAUCUUCGGCAAUGGGCGAAAGCCUGACCGAGCAACGCCGCGUGAGCGAUGAAGGCCUUCGGGUCGUAAAGCUCUGUUGUUAGAGAAGAACAAGUACGAGAGUAACUGCUCGUACCUUGACGGUACCUAACCAGAAAGCCACGGCUAACUACGUGCCAGCCGCCGCAGUAA
rnacentral:rRNA from 1 species